ensembl:lncRNA
CUUCUCUCUUAAACAGGAACAUAAAAACACAGUAGGGCUUUGCACAAAGUGGGGGUCCUAAACGGUCGCUUUGUAUACACGUGAAAAUAAGUUAGAAUGGAAUCCAUCCAGGAGUCUGCAAGUCACCCAAGAGGCUGGGAGGGUGAGGGCUGGAGCUUUGCCGAGGCCACCCCGCUAGACUGGAGUGUGCUGUCUGCUCCCUUUGUAUUUGCCCAGGUACAAGGCACGGGGCAGGGGCGUUCAAGUAGGAGCCUCGCAGGGGCAGUGCCAGGGCGCCAGGAGGAGAGGGAAGGAGAAGAGGCCCGGCUUCCAGGACCACGCCUAGGCGCUGGCAAGGAGGGGAGAGGGAGGAGGGUUUUUUUUUGGUACCAGGGGAGAAAGACAUUGUGGGAAGAGGUAGUUUGCAGGGGUGAUGCUUUCUGCUCAGCAGGAGAAAAUGUCUUGUACAGUGACACUGGAGUCACUGCCACCUGAGGGUCAUCAUGGCGGGCACCUGGGAGGCUGGAGGGCGUAGGGUUUGGGACCUGGGGAACCACACCGGGAGACCAUGUUUAACCCUAGCACUGAUCCGACCAUCACUCUGAGGCCUGGCCUGGUCCUUUGCUGAGGGGUAUAGCUUUGGGGACAGCCCGGCUGUGUCCCUCCUGGUGUCACCCUGUGCCUGUGGGGACAGCCCUGCCUGGCCCUCCCCACUGAGCCUGGGGGGGUGAGUGGCAGAGUUGGGCACCCUGGAGUUCCUGAAUGUGCUGUGCCACGGCCCCAGAAGGUGAUGACAGUGGGUGGGCGAGGGAGGGUGAGUGGCCCUGCCUACCAAGCGCAGGCCAGGUUCAGAGCAGAGUCCCCGCCGUCCCUGCCUCCGGCUUGCUGCUAGAUCUCCAGGCCAGCGAGCCUUGGUCCCCAGAGCCUGUGUCCCAGUGGGCCAGGCUGCCCUGGACUGGGAGGCUCAAAGCACACGGCACACAAGAAAGCUUACAUGUGGAAAAGAAAAAUGCAUCUCCAUCCAAAAGGGUAACAGGUGACACAGAGUUGCGUUGCAAAGAAAAAAAUAAUAAUAAAUUACCUUCAAAAUACCCCUAUUUGUUAAAAAAUUUUUGUUUUCCUCUAUGGUCUUCAUUUUCCUUUUUAAAUGGUUGCUCUUUCCCAGGUGCCUGCUAACUCCAUGGCUAACCCCAUUUCAGCAACUAAGGUCCCCUCUUCCCCUACAGGUGGGCCUUGGCCUCCCCUGAGCACGGCCUCUUCUGUCCCCAGGGAUACUGCACCCUGCCCUGCUCCAUCUGUUUCAGAUCAUGUGCCUGACCCAAGGGCGUCCUGGUUUUGUUUGGAGGGGCCUUGUGUGGUACCCGAGACCAGGACAGAACUGGAUGACAUUUGUCAAAAUCCUCUUUAGGGACGCUCAUUCCAAACAGAGCUUCAGGGCGGCUAGAGGCCUGGUAUCCGGCUUUCCUAAAGGAUGGCGGAGCUUGGGGCGUGAGGGAGGCCCCGAGGUAGAAGGCGGAGGGCCCUGCCUGGCUGGGGACCUCCCCCUGCAGUGUCAGGACCUGGGGGCAGCUCUGCUGGCCUGAGAUGGCCCUGUGCCCUGUCCCCAGACAGCCCUGCUAGUUUUUCUCCCCCCCUCACCCCCAGCAGCAGGCCGAGAAGACCACGGUCUGGGGCAUCUCAGUGACCCUUCCCUCACCAGAAUGUCCAGGCCUGAGCCAGGGGCUCUGCAGUGAGGCCAGUAGUACAGUCUCCAUUUGGUCUAAAGGUCCCUAGGGUGCAGAGGACUUGGGGGGCAGCUGGGCUGUGGGGCAGUAGCUCCUCGGGGUCUCACCCCCACGCCUGGCUGCCCGCCCAUCUCGCUGCCUGCUGCACUAUAGCACGUUGUAGUAGGCCAUCUCCUUCAUGGCCUGCCCAGCCAGUGCAUGCCACCUGCGCGCUGCCAUCCAUGCUGCCAUAAGAGUAGGCGUUGUCCUCGAAGUCCUCCAGCUCCUGCUGGCCCUACCCAGCUCCGAGGGUCCGGGCCUGCCAGCUCCAUCAU